UACGUAGGGACCGAGCGUUGUCCGGAAUCAUUGGGCGUAAAGAGCGUGUAGGCGGCCACUUAAGUCCUGCGUGAAAUCUUGCGGCUCAACCGCAAGCGGUCGUGGGAAACUGGGUGGCUAGAGUGCGGGAGAGGAGAGUGGAAUUCCUGGUGUAGCGGUGGAAUGCGCAGAUAUCAGGAAGAACACCGGUGGCGAAGGCGGCUCUCUGGACCGACACUGACGCUGAGGCGCGAAAGCGUGGGGAGCAAACAGG
rnacentral:rRNA from 1 species